AACCUCUUGGCCAAGACUUUCUAGCUUUCACUGAGCUGUUGGGGACUUACAAGUCAGCAAAGACAAGUUGAGGGAUCCAGAUUUUCUCUCCCCUCCCACCCAAGAGUCGAUUGGUGUGAUAUUAUUUCUGGUGGUGGUGUGUCUCUUGCGUUCUUGUUUUGUCACAGCUUUCAGAUCUUACUGGCCAAUGCUGAUACAUGAGAUGGAAACGCCAAGGCGGCUUGAGG